rnacentral:rRNA from 1 species
GACGAACGCUGGCGGCGUGCUUAACACAUGCAAGUCGAACGGAAAGGCCCUGCUUUUGUGGGGUGCUCGAGUGGCGAACGGGUGAGUAACACGUGAGUAACCUGCCCUUGACUUUGGGAUAACUUCAGGAAACUGGGGCUAAUACCGGAUAGGAGCUCCUGCUGCAUGGUGGGGGUUGGAAAGUUUCGGCGGUUGGGGAUGGACUGGCGGCUUAUCAGCUUGUUGGUGGGGUAGUGGCUUACUAAGGCUUUGACGGGUAGCCGGCCUGCGAGGGUGACCGGCCACAUUGGGACUGAGAUACGGCCCAGACUCCUACGGGAGGCAGCAGUGGGGAAUAUUGCACAAUGGGCGGAAGCCUGAUGCAGCAACGCGGCGUGCGGGAUGACGGCCUUCGGGUUGUAAACCGCUUUCGCCUGUGACGAAGCGUGAGUGACGGUAAUGGGUAAAGAAGCACCGGCUAACUACGUG